rnacentral:rRNA from 1 species
UAGAGAAGAGUUCAAGAGUACGUGAAACCGUUUAGGGGUAAACCUGAGAAACCCGAAAGGUCGAAGGGAGAAAUUCAUUCGCGUCUCGAUGUCGGCGUCAGACGAUCGAGUGACGAAAAGCGUUCGCGUUUUUUGCGCCGAUCGUUUGUCGAACUGGCUACGUACGCGUGCACUUUUCUCCUGGUAGGACGUCGCGAUCCGUUGGGUGUCUGUCUACGGCUCGCGGUGGUGUCCGUCCGUCGCCUCGGCGUCGGACGAACCCGCGAUGACCCGGCCGACUUGCUCGACGGUAUACGAACGGUCGGAGGCCGCUCUCAGAGCGUUCGACUCGUUGCAAGCGCGCCAGUCGCGUUGGAACGCGGACCUAGUGCCGCGCCCGACCGCUGGUGACUGUUGGCCACGAAGUUCUCGAACAGACCUCUAUACAACAAUUAAGACCGAUCUGCGACGCUAUAGGUUUGGGUACUUUCAGGACCCGUCUUGAAACACGGACCAAGGAGUCUAGCAUGUGCGCGAGUCAUUGGGAAUCGUUAAACCUAAAGGCGCAAUGAAAGUAAAUGUCUUCCUCGCGAGGACAUAGGGAAGACGGGCGGUUUUAAAAAGGCCGCUCAGCAUUCCCGGGGCGUCUCGUUCUCAUCGCGAGAAGAGGCGCACCAAGAGCGUACACGCUGGGACCCGAAAGAUGGUGAACUAUGCCUGGUCAGGACGAAGUCAGGGGAAACCCUGAUGGAGGUCCGUAGCGAUUCUGACGUGCAAAUCGAUCGUCGGAACUGGGUAUAGNNNNNNNNNNNNNNNNNNNNNNNNNNNNNNNNNNNNNNNNGGGCGAAAGACUAAUCGAACCAUCUAGUAGCUGGUUCCCUCCGAAGUUUCCCUCAGGAUAGCUGGCGCUCGUCGCGCACGAGUCUCAUCCGGUAAAGCGAAUGAUUAGAGGCAUUGGGGUCGAAACGACCUCAACCUAUUCUCAAACUUUAAAUGGGUGAGAUCUCCGGCUUGCUCGAAUCGAUGAAGCCGCGAGACACGGAUCAAAGUGCCAAGUGGGCCAUUUUUGGU